AAAGAACAGUCUCCACCCCCAUGGAGAUAGAAGAGUACGUUCCACACGAGUGGAGAAGGAAGAGCUGUGCCUGAUAAAGGAGAAACAUUUCCUCAUCCCGAGUGAUCAAAGUAUUCAUGUCAAGAUCUUCCUUGAACAUAUCAGUUCUGAUCUUCUCCAGUCUGAGAUCUUUAGUCAAAGUGGCUAAAGCUUAAUUAAUCUCGGAUGGAACAGGAGGCUUGGUAGUUCAUCCUGAUCCUCAUUGUUCACAUAUUUCAGGGUUGGAAUACAAAAUCUACAGCCAACCAUCUAUGCCUGCAAUACUAUGAUGAACAGAUAUUUUCUCUCACUAUUCCUUCUCCUGGUGCUCCUUCCUAAUGCAGGACUUUUCCGUGUUGUAAAUGUUAUGCGGUGUCAUCGUGCUGGAGGCAGUUGUUACUACUUGACUUGCCCUACGGGUACGACUGCCUUUCGAAGAUGUUCACCAUUUCGGCCAUGCUGCAAAUAAUGAAAUCAGGAUAAGAAUAAUACCUCUGAUGAGGGGAAAUUGAACUUCUCUGUUAUAUAGGAGGACAUCCUGCCUCAUUCUGAAGAACAGCCCUCCCUGCUUUUCUGACUGCAAGUCUGCUGUGAUGUUACUGUUUUUCAAGCCCGAAAAACACGCCAAAGCAUCUUGAAGUUUGACUGCUGAAACAUCUUCCUUCAAUAACAAUAAAUGCCAGCAUACAAUAGA